AUACGUAGGGGGCGAGCGUUGUCCGGAAUGAUUGGGCGUAAAGGGCGCGUAGGCGGCCUGUUAAGUCUGGAGUGAAAGUCCUGUUUUCAAGAUGGGAAUUGCUUUGGAUACUGAUGGGCUUGAGUGCAGGAGAGGUUAUCGGAAUUCCCGGUGUAGCGGUGAAAUGCGUAGAGAGCGGGAGGAACACCAGUGGCGAAGGCGGGUAACUGGACUGCAACUGACGCUGAGGCGCGAAAGUGUGGGGAGCAAACAGGAUUAGAUACCCUGGUAGUCCACACUGUAAACGAUGAAUGCUAGGUGUAAGAGGUAUCGACCCCUUUUGUGCCGGAGUUAACACAAUAAGCAUUCCGCCUGGGGAGUACGGCCGCAAGGUUGAAACUCAAAGGAAUUGACGGGG
rnacentral:rRNA from 1 species